rnacentral:rRNA from 1 species
UAAACCGUACUGAAAACCGACACAGGUGGUCAGGUAGAGAAUACUCAGGCGCUUGAGAGAACUCGGGUGAAGGAACUAGGCAAAAUAGCACCGUAACUUCGGGAGAAGGUGCGCUGGCGUAGGUUGUAGGAGUAUACCUCCGAAGGCUGAACCAGUCGAAGAUACCAGCUGGCUGCAACUGUUUAUUAAAAACACAGCACUCUGCAAACACGAAAGUGGACGUAUAGGGUGUGAUGCCUGCCCGGUGCUGGAAGGUUAAUUGAUGGUGUUAUCGAAAGAGAAGCUCCUGAUCGAAGCCCCAGUAAACGGCGGCCGUAACUAUAACGGUCCUAAGGUAGCGAAAUUCCUUGUCGGGUAAGUUCCGACCUGCACGAAUGGCAUAAUGAUGGCCAGGCUGUCUCCACCCGAGACUCAGUGAAAUUGAAAUCGCCGUGAAGAUGCGGUGUACCCGCGGCUAGACGGAAAGACCCCGUGAACCUUUACUAUAGCUUGACACUGAACAUUGAAUUUUGAUGUGUAGGAUAGGUGGGAG